GACGUAGGGGGCGAGCGUUGUCCGGAUUUAUUGGGCGUAAAGCGCGCGUAGGCGGCUCGGAAAGUCGGAUGUGAAAAUCCGGGGCUCAACCCCGGACCUGCAUCCGAUACUCCCGGGCUGGAGGCAGGUAGGGGAGAUCGGAAUUCCUGGUGUAGCGGUGAAAUGCGCAGAUAUCAGGAGGAACACCGGUGGCGAAGGCGGAUCUCUGGGCCUGUCCUGACGCUCAGGCGCGAAAGCUAGGGGAGCAAACAGG
rnacentral:rRNA from 1 species